AUUGAACGCUGGCGGCAGGCCUAACACAUGCAAGUCGAGCGGAUGAGAGGAGCUUGCUUCUCGAUUCAGCGGCCGACGGGUGAGUAAUGCCUAGGAAUAUGCCUGGUAGUGGGGGACAACGUUUCGAAAGGAACGCUAAUACCGCAUACGUCCUACGGGAGAAAGCAGGGGACCUUCGGGCCUUGCGCUAUCCGAUGAGCCUAGGUCGGAUUAGCUAGUUGGUGAGGUAAUGGCUCACCAAGGCGACGAUCCGUAACUGGUCUGAGAGGAUGAUCAGUCACACUGGAACUGAGACACGGUCCAGACUCCUACGGGAGGCAGCAGUGGGGAAUAUUGGACAAUGGGCGAAAGCCUGAUCCAGCCAUGCCGCGUGUGUGAAGAAGGUCUUCGGAUUGUAAAGCACUUUAAGUUGGGAGGAAGGGUUGUAGAUUAAUACUCUGCAAUUUUGACGUUACCGACAGAGUAAGCACCGGCUAACUCUGUGCCAGCCGCCGCGGUAAUAC
rnacentral:rRNA from 1 species